GGCUGCAACCCACAGCAUAUAGAGGUUUCCAGGCUAGGGGUCUAAUUGGAGCUGUAGCCACCGGCCCACACUACAGCCAGAGCAACAUGGGAUCUGACCCAGGUCUGCAACCUAUGCCACAGCUCAGAGCAACGCUGGAUCCUUAACCCACUGGGCAAGGCCAGGGAUUGAACCCACAUCCUCAUGGAUCCUGGUCAAGUUUGUCAACCACUAAGCCAUGACAGGAACUGAUACCACUUAUAUCUGGAAUCUAAUAUAUGACACAAUGAACCUAUCUACAGAAAAGAAACAAACUCAUGGACAUGGAGAAUAGAGCUGUGGUUGUCAAGGGGGAGGAGGAAGAAGUGGGAUGGACUGGGAGUCUGGGGUUAAUAGAUGCAAACUACUGCACUUGAAGCUGAUAAGCAAUGAAAUCCUGCUGCACGGCACAGGGAACUAUAUCCAAACACUUGUGAUGGAACAUAAUGGAGGAUAACAUGAGAAAAAAAAAUGUGUGUGUAUAUACAUAAACUGGGUCACUUUGCUGUACAGCAGAAAUUGACAACACUAUAAAUCAAGUAUAAUAAAAAUUUUUGUGUAGAAAGAAAAUGUGCUUAGUCAUCUGACAAUGCAAAUUAAAAUCACAAUUAAAAAACGUUUCACCUUUAAAAUGGCUAAAAUGAGUAUACAAAGCCACUAGUACCGUUAUACCAUGCUAACUGGAGUGUAAAAGGAUACGACCACUUUGGAACACUGUUCAGUAUUUUCUCAUAACACUUAAGUACACCCACUACCUCCUAUGUCUAAGUAUUUGCCCAUGAGAAAUGAAGCAGAUACAAAAGAUUCAAAUAAGAGCGCUCCUGUCGUGGCGCAGUAGAAAUGAAUCCAUCUAGGAACUAUAAAGCUGCAGGUUCGAUCCCUGGCCUCACUCAGUGGAUUAAGGAUCUGGCGUUGCUGUGAGCUGUGGUGUAGGUCACAGAUGCGGCUUGGAUCUGAUGUUGCUGUGGCAGGCAGCUGUAGCUCCAAUUAGACCCCUAGCCUGGGAACCUCCAUAUGCUGCAAGUGCGGCCCUAAAAAAAAAAGACUCAAACAGGAAAUAUUCAUAGCAGCAGUGUAUUGGAAACACUGUGUUGAGCAAACACAAAAGAGGUCAUACUUUAUGAUCCCAUGUUCCCAUUUAUAUAAAGUCCUACAACAGUCAAAAAAAUUUGUGGUGAAAGAAAUCAAGAGUGGUUGCUUCUGGGAGGAAAAGGGGAUUAACUGGAAAGGGGUAUGAUGGAAUGUCCCUGGGUGAUGGAACUGGUUGCAUACUUUGACUGGAAUGUUGGUUAUAUGACUGUAUACAUUUGUCAAGUACUUAGAGAGUACUUAUCGAAUCGUACUCUUAAAGUCUAUAUUUUAUUGUGUGUAAAUUACAUAAAAUCUUCAAAAGGCUUUUUGGGGGUGGGAAAAAUUAACAAACUGAUUCUAAAUUCUUCAUGCAAAUACAAAGGAGC
rnacentral:lncRNA from 1 species